GGGUUACCGCCUUCGGGCACACCCCCACCCUUUGUAACUGCGGCCCGGAUUCGGCGCCUGGCGGGGACCACCCUCCGUUCGCGGGGGGCCCCGCCUGCCGGAAUUAGCCAACCCUGCCUAGAAAAUUGAAGUCUGAGAACAAGUCAAAUGAAACAAAACUUUCAACAACGGAUCUCUUGGUUCU
rnacentral:misc_RNA from 1 species